AAUGAAAUUGUUGAUUUGG
rnacentral:miRNA from 1 species